GUAUUCAGAUACCACUUUGGAAUAUUUUUUUUGCUCUAAGAGGUUGAGUUGCUUGAACACGUUCGAUUUACAGGCGAAUUUCGGAGGUCUCUUUCCAGAGCGUUCCCGACCCGAGACGUUUUACAUACGCGAACGUUGUGGCGCUUAGACCGACGCUGAGAAGACUCACUCUCAAAGGAGUCAUGGAUUCAACAUAUGGAAAGGACGCCUCGUGAACCAGCUGGUAUGAGUCCGUGUUGUGGACAACAUUGUAAGAGGAGCCGUCAUACACUGAAACAACGCUGGAGGGGACGGUGAAAGUCAUCUUGCUGUGGGAACAGAACCUAAAUUAAUGGAAAACGAAAAUGGAUAAACGGUCAUAACCAU